rnacentral:lncRNA from 1 species
GAUUAUUUUGUGGCGAAUCUAGCGGGCCGCUGUGUAUUUCCUCCUUUUAGGUGCACUGGGGCAAUUCGAAAUCUUAUGCUCGAUACUACUGCAUCUCAGACACUUUCCUUGCUUUAUCUAGCACUUGUCCUCGGUGUGAUUAAUCUUGCCACAGUAUCCACAAUUUGCGUGAGAAGUGACGGCUUGACCAGUUUGAUGAUUUUCCUUGUAUUCCUUCUCCAGUUUUACAUUCUUACUUUACAACUCAAUUUUCUCCGCAUAUUCCUGUUUCCACCGUCCUUCCC